rnacentral:misc_RNA from 1 species
UUAAGUUCAGCGGGUAUCCCUACCUGAUCCGAGGUCAACCUGGAUAAAAAUUUGGGUUGAUCGGCAGGCGCCGGCCGGGCCUACAGAGCGGGUGACAAAGCCCCAUACGCUCGAGGACCGGACGCGGUGCCGCCGCUGCCUUUCGGGCCGUCCCGCGGAAUCGGGGGACGGGGCCCAACACACAAGCCGGGCUUGAGGGC